rnacentral:rRNA from 1 species
GUGGGGAAUUUUGGACAAUGGGCGAAAGCCUGAUCCAGCCAUGCCGCGUGCAGGAUGAAGGCCUUCGGGUUGUAAACUGCUUUUGUACGGAACGAAACGGCUCUUUCUAAUAAAGGGGGCUAAUGACGGUACCGUAAGAAUAAGCACCGGCUAACUACGUGCCAGCAGCCGCGGUAAUACGUAGGGUGCGAGCGUUAAUCGGAAUUACUGGGCGUAAAGCGUGCGCAGGCGGUGAUGUAAGACAGAUGUGAAAUCCCCGGGCUCAACCGGGGAACUGCAUUUGUGACUGCAGCGCUGGAGUGCGGCAGGGGGGGAGGGAAUUCCGCGUGUAGCAGUGAAAUGCGUAGAUAUGCGGAGGAACACCGAUGGCGAAGGCAAUCCCCUGGGCCUGCACUGACGCUCAUGCACGAAAGCGUGGGGAGCAAACAGGAUUAGAAACCCGUGUAGUCC